UACAGAGGUCUCAAGCGUUGUUCGGAUUCAUUGGGCGUAAAGGGUGCGUAGGCGGCGCGGUAAGUCGGGUGUGAAAUCUUGGAGCUUAACUCCGAAACUGCAUUCGAUACUGCCGUGCUUGAGGACUGGAGAGGAGACUGGAAUUCCCGGUGUAGCGGUGGAAUGCGUAGAGAUCGGGAAGAACAUCAGUGGCGAAGGCGGCCUGCUGGGCUGUUGCUGACGCUGAGGCGCGACAGCGUGGGGAGCAAACAGG
rnacentral:rRNA from 1 species